CCUACGGGAGGCAGCAGUGAGGAAUAUUGGUCAAUGGACGCAAGUCUGAACCAGCCAUGCCGCGUGCAGGAAGACGGCUCUAUGAAUUGUAAACUGCUUUUGUACGAGGGUAAACUCAGAUACGCGUACCUGUCUGAAAGUAUCUUACGAAUAAGCAUCGGCUAACUCCGUGCCAGCGGCCGCGGUAAUACGGAGGAUUCAAGCGUUAUCCGGAUUUAUUGGGUUUAAAGGGUGCGUAGGCGGUCGGAUAAGUUAGAGGUGAAAGCCCGAGGCUCAACUUCGGAAUGGCCUCUGAUACUGUUCGGCUAGAGAGUAGGUGCGGUAGGCGGAAUGUAUGGUGUAGCGGUGAAAUGCUUAGAGAUCGUACAGAACACCGAUUGCGAAGGCAGCUUACCAAGGUACUUCUGACGUUGAGGCACGAAAGCGUGGGGAGCAAACAGGAUUAGAUACCCGUGUAGUC
rnacentral:rRNA from 1 species